rnacentral:piRNA from 1 species
UGACUGACUUGGUUUCAAGUCUGGGC